rnacentral:rRNA from 1 species
UACGUAGGGUGCGAGCGUUGUCCGGAAUUUUAUUUGGGCGUAAAGAGCUUUGUAGGCGGUUUUGUCGCGUCUGCUUGUGAAAUCUCAAGGCUCAACCUUUGAGCUUUGCAGUGGGUACGGGCAGACUAGAGUGUGGUAGGGGGAGACUGGAAUUUCCUGGUGUAGCGGUUGAAAUGCGCAGAUAUCAGGAGGAACACCGAUGGCGAAGGCAGGUCUCUUGGGCCACUACUGACGCUGGAGAAGCGGAAAGCAUGGGGGAGCGAAC